ACAAAGGUCAGCUAAUUAUGCUAAAGUAGGUAUACAUUCACUAAUGUAGCACUUUUGCAAAAACAAUGUUAGGUCCGGUAUUCACAGAUUUCAAGGACUGAUAUGUGUUUCACCAAAUUGAUGCUAAAAGAAGAUGGCUUGGCACUGAGAAGAACAAGAAAAAAAAAAAAAAUCAAAUGAGAGUUCGUGGACUGAGAAGAUAUUCUUGGUCAGAAAAGUUUGGUAAUCUAUCAUUUGCGCAUAAAUGGAGUGUAAUUCCAUGAAAAAC
rnacentral:lncRNA from 1 species